rnacentral:rRNA from 1 species
UACAGAGACUGCAAGCGUUAUUCGGAUUCACUGGGCGUAAAGGGUGCGCAGGCGGCCGAGUGUGUUAGAUGUGAAAUCCCGGGGCUCAACCCCGGAACUGCGUCUAAAACUACUUGGCUAGAGCAUUGGAGAGGGUAGCGGAAUUCACGGUGUAGCAGUGAAAUGCGUAGAUAUCGUGAGGAACACCAGAGGCGAAGGCGGCUACCUGGACAAUUGCUGACGCUCAGGCACGAAAGCGUGGGGAGCAAAAGGG